rnacentral:rRNA from 1 species
UACGGAGGGAGCUAGCGUUGUUCGGAAUUACUGGGCGUAAAGCGCACGUAGGCGGCUUUUUAAGUCAGGGGUGAAAUCCCGGGGCUCAACCCCGGAACUGCCCUUGAAACUGGAGAGCUAGAAUCUUGGAGAGGCGAGUGGAAUUCCGAGUGUAGAGGUGAAAUUCGUAGAUAUUCGGAAGAACACCAGUGGCGAAGGCGACUCACUGGACAUGUAUUGACGCUGAGGUGGCGAAAGCGUGGGGAGCAAACAGG